GAAGAGAUUUUGGGGUUACUGCUAAUAAUUCUUUGUCAAUUUAUUUUGACUUUCUUCU
rnacentral:tRNA from 1 species